UACAGAGGUCUCAAGCGUUGUCCGGAAUUAUUGGGCGUAAAGAGCUCGUAGGCGGUUUGUCGCGUCUGCUGUGAAAUCCCGAGGCUCAACCUCGGGCUUGCAGUGGGUACGGGCAAACUAGAGUACUGCAGGGGAGACUGGAAUUCCUGGUGUAGCGGUGAAAUGCGCAGAUAUCAGGAGGAACACCGGUGGCGAAGGCGGGUCUCUGGGCAGUGAACUGACGCUGGAGGAGCGAAAGCGUGGGGAGCGAACAGG
rnacentral:rRNA from 1 species